rnacentral:rRNA from 1 species
GAUGAACGCUGGCGGCGUGCCUAAUACAUGCAAGUCGAGCGAACAGAUGAGAAGUUUCCUCCCCGGACGUUAGCCGCGGACGGGUGUGUAACAUGUGGAUAACCCCCGUAUAAGACGGGGAUAACUUCGGAAAACCGGCUCAAAUACCGUAAUAGAUAUUGAUCCGUAUGAUUCAAUAGAGAGAUACGAUUUUGUCACUACCAAAAGAUCGUGCGGUGCAGCAUUAGCUUGUUGGUAAGGUAACGGCUUACCAAGGCAACGAUGCGUAGCCGACCUGAGAGGGUGAUCGGCCACACUGGAACUGAGACACGGUCCAGACUCCUACGGGAGGCAGCAGUAGGGAAUCUUCCGCAAUGGGCGAAAGCCUGACGGAGCAACGCCGCGUGAGUGAUGAAGGUCUUCGGAUCGUAAAACUCUGUUAUUAGGGAAGAACAAAUGUGUAAGUAACUAUGCACGUCUUGACGGUACCUAAUCAGAAAGCCACGGCUAACUACGUG